CUCUUAUGGAGAGUUUGAUCCUGGCUCAGGACGAACGCUGGCGGCGUGCCUAAUACAUGCAAGUCGAGCGCGGGAAGCGAGCUGAAGCCCUUCGGGGCGGACGCUCGUGGAACGAGCGGCGGACGGGUGAGUAACACGUGGGCAACCUACCUGUAAGACCGGAAUAACCCCGGGAAACCGGGGCUAAUGCCGGGUAACCGUUCGGUUCUCCUGAACCGAACGUAAAAGGAUGGCUUCUUGCUAUCGCUUACAGAUGGGCCCGCGGCGCAUUAGCUAGUUGGUAAGGUAACGGCUUACCAAGGCGACGAUGCGUAGCCGACCU
rnacentral:rRNA from 1 species